rnacentral:rRNA from 1 species
CUACGGGUCGCUCCAGUCGAGAAUCAUCCGCAAUGGGCGAAAGCCUGACGGUGCAAUGCCGCGUGGGGGAUGAAGGCCCUCGGGUCGUAAACCCCUGUCAGGAGGGACGAAGAAGUGACGGUACCUCCAGAGGAAGCCACGGCUAACUACGUGCGCAGCAGCCGCGGGAAUACGGUAGGUGGCGAGCGUUAUUCGGUUUACUGGGCGUAAAGGGUCCGCAGGGGGUGUGCCAAGUCUGGUGUGAAAUCUCACAGCUCAACUGUGAAACUGCGCUGGAUACUGGUGAACUAGAGUGCGCGAGGGGUGAGUGGAAUUCCUGGUGUAGCGGUGGAAUGCGUAGAUAUCAGGAAGAACACCAACGGCGAAGGCAGCUCACUGGCGCGCAACUGACCCUCAUGGACGAAAGCGUGGGUAGCAAACAGGAUUAGAUACCCGUGUAGUC